UCUGGGUGUUAAACCAUGAUUCAAGGGCAUUUAGCGUGAGUCAAAUUCAUGAAAAGUUUUGUAAGUAAUUUUGCUUCUCUAACCCGAAGUGACUUUAGGAUUUCUUUUAUGGAUUUUUGGUUAACCUUGAUGUUGGAAGUUUGAUGUGGUGCAGGUACACGUGAGUCAUUAGGAAUAGGGCUUGGGCACUUUCUACGUGGUGCAAACCAUCGGGACAAAGCACCAGCUUGUUAAUUUCCAGCAUGUUUGGGUUGAUUAAAAAUUCCUUGAUUUCCAUUUGUUAAUUCUAUUGCAUUUUUUAUAUUUUAUCGUGUG
rnacentral:lncRNA from 1 species